GGUCAAUUGGCUGAGUCUGGUUUAUAGCGCUUGUCUUGAAAACAAGUACUUGAAUAAAGUCGUUGGUUCAAAUCCAACAUUGUCCG
rnacentral:tRNA from 1 species